GUGCAGCAGGCGCGAAUACCUCACACUGUGCGAAGCACGAUGAGGGAAUCCCAAGUGCUUGCACGUAAGUGUAAGCUGUUUCUCUGUCUAAACGCAGAGAGAGUAAGGGCUGGGUAAGACGGGUGCCAGCCGCCGCGGUAAUACCUGCAGCUCAAGUGGUGACCGUUAUUAUUGGGCCUAAAACGUCCGUAGCCGGUUUAAUAAAUGCCUGGGUAAAUUGUGUAGCUUAACUAUACGAAUUCCGGGUAGACUGUUAAACUUGAGACUGGGAGAAGUUAGAGGUACUCCUGGGGUAGAGGUGAAACUCUGUAAUCCUAGGGGGACCACCGAGUGGCGAAGGCGUCUAACUAGAACGGGUCUGACGGUGAGGGACGAAGCCCGUGGGGCGCAAACGGGGAUUAGACUACCCCCGUAGU
rnacentral:rRNA from 1 species